CGGGAUAUGGCCUAGCCCGGUAAGGCGCUUGUCUGGGGGACAAGAGAUCACAGGUUCAAAUCCUGUUAUCCCGACCA
rnacentral:tRNA from 2 species